UACGUAGGGGGCAAGCGUUGUCCGGAUUUAUUGGGCGUAAAGAGCGUGUAGGCGGCCUGAAAGGUCAGCUGUGAAAACUCGAGGCUCAACCUCGAGACGUCGGUUGAAACCAUCUGGCUAGAGUCCGGAAGAGGAGAGUGGAAUUCCUGGUGUAGCGGUGAAAUGCGCAGAUAUCAGGAAGAACACCCGUGGCUAAGGCGGCUCUCUAGUACGGUACUGACGCUGAGACGCGAAAGCGUGGGGGAGCGAACAGG
rnacentral:rRNA from 1 species